rnacentral:rRNA from 1 species
UCGCCGCCGGCGACGUCGCGAGAAGUCCACUGAACCUUAUCAUUUAGAGGAAGGAGAAGUCGUAACAAGGUUUCCGUAGGUGAACCUGCGGAAGGAUCAUUGUCGAUGCCUGCAAAGCAGAACGACCCGCGAACCGUUUCUCGACAGUCGGGGCACCGGUGGGCGUUCAUUCGACCGCCCGGUACCCCGGCGCUCCGGCCGCUGGGGGUGCGAGCCGCCCCCGGCGGAUGGAGCAUCAAACAAAACCCCGGCGUGCAAAGCGCCAAGGUACUCCAACGGUAGGGCAAGCGCCCGAACGCCUGGACUCCAGUGCGAUCGGGCGUCUGUUCGGUAUCAUAAAUCUAAACGACUNNNGUGUGAAUUGCAGAAUCCCGUGAACCAUCGAGUCUUUGAACGCAAGUUGCGCCCGAAGCCUUGGCUGAGGGCACGCCUGCCUGGGUGUCACACGUCGCUUCGCCUCCAAAACCUUCCCCCUUGCGGUGAUGGUAUGGAUGCGGAAGAUGGCCUCCCGUGACCGCGAGCCACGGAUGGCCCAAGUCUUUGCUGGGGGAGCGAAGCGCCACGGCUUUCGGUGGUCGGUACUGCCCUCGAGGCAAUCAAUCAAGCCCGUGGUAGCCGCGACAGCCCCCGGUGUACGGCCCUAAUCAUUAGAACAACCAACGCGACCUCAGGUCAGGCGGGGCUACCCGCUGAGUUUAAGCAUAUCAAUAAGCGGAGG